GGGUGGAUGAAGAGGGUAGACUGGAGGAGAGGCAGUUGAGGCUGUGCUGGUGGUGGAGAGAAGACAGCUGUGUGCGAGGCAGGCCUGGUGGUGGAAGGAGGAGAGAAGUGUGCUCAUAGGUGAGCAUGGCAGGGCGGGAGAAGGACACAGGCUCUGCGUGGGAUGCUGGGGUGAAGGAGCAGGCAUGAUUUCUGCGAGUGGGAGGAAGGUUUUGACUGAUCUGUCACAGCGGUAGGGUCCAUUUCAGAGAGGGGACACACCAGUCCCCUCUACCCCAGAAUUGCAUUUUUUUUGUCCCCUUUGCUGUCAGCACCAUGGAGGCACCCAACGACUUGUGACUUUGCACCUUGAACUGACUGUUUGGUGAUGCCCUUCUCUCUAGGAGGAUGCAUGGGCUCAUGCUUUAGGCCUUAGCAUCAUGAUUUCUAGGUUCUCCUCCCAGCCCUGCCAUGCUGUAGGAAGCCACGCUUGCAGAACCCACAGUGCCUUAGUUUACCGGGCUGCAUAAUGGGAACAUGGCCAGCUUCAGCAGGAAGCCGUGAGAUGUGGAGCUAGGAGUCUGUCUGUCAAGUACUUUGCAAUUCCUUCCUGGCAGAUGCUGUCAAAGCGUAUGAGAUUUGUUUUGUUCAGGAGCGAAGCUUUUAGCGUAGCAGGUGUUUGAGGUUUCAGGCUCUCUCCUUUCCCCCUUCCGCCCCCUUCUUCCAGGAGCACUGAAUGCUAGCAAGUGAAUUUGUAAAUUCAUGGCAAGCCUGAGUGAGAGCUGCAGGCUGUCAUUACCCAGAUCAUAUUUUUUUUAAAACUACAAAUAAAGAGAGUGACAUUUCAUCAGAGCACCUGAAUGGUGUAUUUGCUUUAUAGCCAGCCCCGGAGUGCUUGGAGCCAUGGGCUGCCGUUCAAGGUUUUUUACUCUGUGAAACAAGCUCAGGGGGAGGAGAUGACCUUCCUCCUUAAAGAAAAGAAAACCCAUGUUUUUUUGGCAAAUGGUAUGUGGAGGGAGGUGGGGCUUGAGUUAAGUGCUGAUGUAUUUGCUUUUACACUCAAGCUUUGCGUGACUGAGGUCUGCAAAGGGGAAGCCAAGUGCCAGACCUCAGUGGUGCUCUUCCCCUCUUGGAGCCAGUGGGAGCUGAACUGGAAAAAAUGUUUUGCAAAGGCUUGGCUCAUUGAAAGUUUCUUACCCGGACUUAGGCCAGAGACACGGAGAGUCCAAGAGAAGCGAAACAUGGGUCAGUAAACACUGCUGAAGUGACAUUUUUCAAGUGUGUGCCAUCUUCUGCUUUUGCGCACCUUCUAAGGCAUACGCUUCAGCACUUAAUGGCAUGAGACUGUGUCCCACAGGCAGGGGGCAUAGAAACAAGCCAGCAGCAGCAAUCGGCCGUGUCAGUGUUUCCGUUGGCAGACUUUAGCACCUUUCCUGCUAAGGGAAUCAUCAGCGUCCUUCUCUGGGCUGGUUCAAGCAUCCCUUUCCUCAGAUGUAGUGGCCCCAGGAGACAUCAACCAAGGCUGAAGUUCUGGCCCACUGACUUCACUGGGGAACCUCUCCUUUUGCUCUAGUUAGGAUCAAACAUGCAGACAGCAACAUUAACUUCUUCAAUGCACGGGGGUCAAACCUUGUCCCAUGACAGCCUUUGGCCAUUGACUCUAGUUGAAUCCAGGUGUGAUCCAAGGUGUUCAGAUUCAGUUGUCUCUUGCUGGAAAACUAAGGCUACCUGAACUGCAAAGAAUGUAUUGAUGUGCCUUUUGGGUUUUUUUUAAGAGAACCCUCUAAAAUAUGCAAGCAAUUUGCUUCACUUUCUAGCUUCAUGCACUAAACAUUAUUGAAAUCUAUCCCCAGUAGGGGCGCCCUCUUUACGAUCAGUACUGGAGUGGUUAACAUUUCUAUGGAAGCCAUGAUGAAACUGCAUAUUAAAUAACAGAAAUGAUAGUUCCGAGUGUGCAUUUGGAAGAGAUCACUGCUUGUGGGGCAGAUGUAAACCAUAAGCCCUGUGAGGCAGGUAGUGAAAACACGUUACCGUUUUUCAUCUCCGGCCAAAACAGAGCAGAACUGAGGGGAUUUUUUUCCAGUCUGUGGACAAUGAAAGGAGAGUAUUUUUCCUCCACGUUUCCAUUGGAGGACUGACAUUCUUCCUAGCAGUUAACGGAGUUAUGUGUGACUUGCUGUCCUGCCUUGAAGUCCUACUCUUAGAAGUCGGUGAAAGAAAGGGACAUCGAUAUGAUGGAAGAUCAGGCCGAGUAUAAAAUCCACAUCUGCUUCUUUCACAACGUCCUCAAAAUGACCCUGUUCCUUAGAAGAGGGCUGCAUGCAAAGAUUGUCUAAGGCAGAUGAAGGAUUUGUGCUGACAGCGUAUUGCACAGAUCAUCAGCAAGUGAGAACAGGAAGAAUGGACUCACUGCUUGGGAGACUGUUUUAGUGACUAGUUCUUGAAUUCUUCCCCGUGGUAUCACUCCUGUUGUCCAAUGUGGCGACCUUGGUGAAUUCUUUGCCAUUUCUUUGUCACUGCCAGCUGUUUGUGCAGAGGAUAAAAACUUGGCCUUCCAAGGGCUUUGUAGACAUGGCAAAGUUUUAUAGCAACCCUGCGACCAUCUGCAUAGCAAGACUUCCUAGCUGUACAAUUGGGAACUACCUUGUAGAUCAGGACUAGAACGUGUAACCUCCUGCUCCAGAGCGCCUUGAGCUAAAAGAGAAUUUUGCCUUUGUUGCCGAGUUGUGAGAAGCAUUGAUUUUUGGUUCACUGACAGAGACAAGCAAACGAAAAAGAAAUCUUCACUUUGUGUUGACCUGGAACAUUUCUUUCAACCCAAAACAAAAUAUUUUGUUCUGUUUCUAUGGGCUUAUGAUUUUUUUAACCUUUUCUUAUUGUUCCAUUUAGGCACAUUUUGAAAUGAAACCUCAUUUCAAAACAGCAAGUUGAGAACGCUGCAUCUUGAAAACUACUUCAACUUUUUCAAAUGAUUUGGUGGGGCAAAAGCUAUUCAUCAAAUCCAGUUGUGAUGUACCCCCCAAGUGCAUGUUUUGUGGAAAUUAAACCAUUCAUCUGCAAAAUCAUACAUCCUACUUGGCUCUUCUUGUAGGGCCAUCUUGCAGUUUAUUUCUGAACCCAGGCAGACGAGGGCAGUGCUACAUAUGCCCACUACUUAAUUCAUUGCAACGUUGGUAUUUUCAGUUGACUUAAGGGAGCAAACUACAGCACAAAUGCUAAGAGAGCACAGCCAGAGCUGAAGAAAGGAUCAGAAGGGAGGAAUCCCUGCUUCUCAGUCCCAAGUUAAAACCAGAGCUUCAUUUACCUCUACUUUUGUCAUGCAAAAUUGGUCGAUGUCAACUUCAGCUAAGCAGGUUUGAUUUCCGUGUUAGGAUUUCAAAAUUCAUGUUCCUGUGAGUUAUUUCAGCUUUUUUUGUUUUUCCUGCAUAACACCGGAGAAGUGGUAUUGCUGAGUUUGGGAAAGAGUUACAGAAAGCAGCUCCUCUUUCUUCACAGAUACUCCCUGUUGCAAGCUGUAAGGCACAAGUGGCAUAAGACAGAAAUGGCUGGAUUGCAGUGUGGUGCCUGUUCCUCACGGUACAUGGGAGAUGAUGCAUGCAUUGCCCAAGGGAUGUCAAAUGUUACGUUUGGGACAAAAACUUCAGAGCUGGCUAGGAAGUCUGGAUGCUUUGGCUUUUGGGUGCUUUACUUGAGAUACCUUGAACCUGAUUUUCAGAGGUGCUAAGUAUCUGACUUUCCCUGCAACUUCAGUCUGUCUGACCCCAAAAAGUUGGAUUGAGUGCGUCUCAAGACACCCAAAAAUGUUUGCCUCCAGUUUCACUAGUCAUUUCCAAAUAUAUUGACAGUAGGAAUGAAGAAACCGGCAGGCUGCCGUGUGGCUGAACUAGUACAAGGAAAAGGAAAGAGUGCCGUUUUGACGGAUUUCCUCCACACAAUUUCCCCUGCUGCAUAUCAGUUUUUGCUUCUGUUUUUUGUUCUUCUGCUUCCUCUCACAGGGGGUUGUUUGAGCCGUUGGGACAAGAGAACCAUAUCAUAUUUGCACCAGGCCCCUCGUAGGACAUCUUUUUCUCUUCAUUUCUACAAAAUUGUAGUUUGUAAGUGCUAAGAGUGGGGAUUUGACAUUGUGCAAGUGUCUGUCUGUUUUGCUGGCAGACAAGCGCCACUUGAAUUUUUGCGAGACUUGUAUAUCCCCAGACUGGAGUCUAAGCUCAGAUUACCAGUAUCUUCUAGGGAGUGAAAAGCAAGCCAACAGGCUCUUCAAGUCAGAGAUCCUGGUCCUCGGUAUACUUCCUUCUGCUCUGUGCAGUCUGUAAGUUUUCAGGCGGGUCCUCAGAAAUGAAGUUUCAUUUGGUUUGCAUAAACUGAAGCUCUGGGCCACUGGUUUUCCCCCGUCUCUACACAGAGCACUGCCUGUUUUUUCUCCGUUUGGUUGGUUUUUAUUUCAGAUUAAGAAAAGCAACAGCAAGCAACCAGGUGCAAGUGAGGGAGAGAAAACACCAGCGAUUCGGUCCAUAUUACGUGUUAUCUGAGCUGAUCUAAAAUCCCACCUCGCCGCUGCCCUUCAAGACAGGCAGAAUGCUUCAGAAAUGUAAAGGCACCACACAGAGAGAGAACCGAGUUGCAGCGGUGCUUUAGCUCUGUGAAUGCAAUGAAUGAUCAGCCUAUUUGUUUUGAGGGACAGCUGUUCAGCUGGAAAGCUGCAUCAUGGCUCUGCAUGCUAACUGCAUUUCAGUAACUUAGCUGACAUGACUAGGUGUCCUCCUUGCCAAAGUUACUGCACCAGAUAUCCAUCCAGAUGCCUCCUGCACUCCCAGCCACGAAAGGCUAUGGGCGCUUUGGGGUCAUGUUUCUCUUUCUCAGAGACUGUAGAUGAUCUCAGUGUGGUGCAAGGUUUGGGAUAGGAUUUCAACAUUCACCAGCUGGUCCAAACAUGGAGAUUUCUUUAUCAGAUCCCCAGCCUGAUCAAAUUAUUGACUCAAGUUAAGGUAACCUUGGAUGGACAGGGAUACGUAUUCCCUCUAUAACUAAAGCCCCUUGCAUGGGGAAGGUAGGGUAUAGUCCCUUCUGAAAAAUUCACUUUGGAAAAAACAGCACAAACUGGGAAGAGCCAGCAGCCAUCCAGCACAGCGGGAGCCCUCCCUACCCAGCAGGCACUCAUCUGCUUGUAGGAUCAGGCCGCAAAAAAAUGAGCAGCAAAGUAGGCUAAGUGCCAGGGUUCUGUGUCAGAAAUCUUUUAAUGAUGCGCUGAAAGAUGGCACCUUCUUCUGUCAGCUGUGAGGCUUGUUCUUUUGGAGGCAAAAGACCUUUUUAAACAAGUAGCAAUCCCACCAGAUUUCAGUUGUCACGAUCCAUCCUCUGUAACAGAUAGCAGCAAAGCAUUAGGCAUCUGGUUUACGGAGCCUGGUUACCCUGCUUUAAGUAUACACUUAAAUGUAGCAUCCCUGCCAUCCACAUGAAACAGGACUAUUCUUUACAGUAUCAACCAUAGCGCAAUAAAAUCCGUCUGCCAGCUCCACAGCGCUCUUAUACCAUCUGCCUUAUAGCCUCUUUUUGCUAUUGUGUUUGGAAAUCAUAGGGCUGAUGCUUCUAAGGGGUGGGGGUUGUUGGCUACAAACCAGAAUGAUGUUGCAGCAUAAGAGACAGAUCCCAACUACUCCUGCAGCAAGGACUGGGGUGUUUUCUGGAAUGAAAGAGAAAUUCACUCUUCUUUUAAAGAGAGGCUGGAGGCUUUACAAAUACAUGUAAUUAUCUCAGCAAA